UCGGAGGCUGUGAGCGUCUCGCGCAAUCCGCGCGGCAGCGAAUGGUUUGCGGCCGGUUUAUGCGUUGCCAACGCUUGAGCAGGCAGCAGGGAGAGCAUGCGCUGUCGCUCGCAAGGAAGCUC
rnacentral:SRP_RNA from 14 species